rnacentral:rRNA from 1 species
UUAAGCGACUAAGCGUACACGGUGGAUGCCCUGGCAGUCAGAGGCGAUGAAGGACGUGCUAAUCUGCGAAAAGCGUCGGUAAGGUGAUAUGAACCGUUACAGCCGGCGAUGUCCGAAUGGGGAAACCCAGUGCAAUUCGUUGCACUAUCGUUAACUGAAUACAUAGGUUAACGAGGCGAACCGGGGGAACUGAAACAUCUAAGUACCCCGAGGAAAAGAAAUCAACCGAGAUUCCCCCAGUAGCGGCGAGCGAACGGGGAGCAGCCCAGAGUCUGAAUCAGCUUGUGUGUUAGUGGAACGGUCUGGAAAGUCCGACGGUACAGGGUGAUAGUCCCGUACACCAAAAUGCACAGGUUGUGAACUCGAAGAGUAGGGCGGGACACGUGGUAUCCUGUCUGAAUAUGGGGGGACCAUCCUCCAAGGCUAAAUACUCCUGACUGACCGAUAGUGAACCAGUACCGUGAGGGAAAGGCGAAAAGAACCCCGGCGAGGGGAGUGAAAAAGAACCUGAAACCGUGUACGUACAAGCAGUGGGAGCCUCUUUAUGGGGUGACUGCGUACCUUUUGUAUAAUGGGUCAGCGACUUAUAUUCUGUAGCAAGGUUAACCGUAUAGGGGAGCCGCAGGGAAACCGAGUCUUAACUGGGCGUUAAGUUGCAGGGUAUAGACCCGAAACCCGGUGAUCUAGCCAUGGGCAGGUUGAAGGUUGGGUAACACUAACUGGAGGACCGAACCGACUAAUGUUGAAAAAUUAGCGGAUGACUUGUGGCUGGGGGUGAAAGGCCAAUCAAACCGGGAGAUAGCUGGUUCUCCCCGAAAGCUAUUUAGGUAGCGCCUCGUGAAUUCAUCUUCGGGGGUAGAGCACUGUUUCGGCUAGGGGGUCAUCCCGACUUACCAACCCGAUGCAAACUACGAAUACCGAAGAAUGUUAUCACGGGAGACACACGGCGGGUGCUAACGUCCGUCGUGAAGAGGGAAACAACCCAGACCGCCAGCUAAGGUCCCAAAGUCAUGGUUAAGUGGGAAACGAUGUGGGAAGGCACAGACAGCCAGGAUGUUGGCUUAGAAGCAGCCAUCAUUUAAAGAAAGCGUAAUAGCUCACUGGUCGAGUCGGCCUGCGCGGAAGAUGUAACGGGGCUAAACCAUGCACCGAAGCUGCGGCAGCGACGCUUAGGCGUUGUUGGGUAGGGGAGCGUUCUGUAAGCCUGCGAAGGUGACCUGUGAGGGUUGCUGGAGGUAUCAGAAGUGCGAAUGCUGACAUAAGUAACGAUAAAGCGGGUGAAAAGCCCGCUCGCCGGAAGACCAAGGGUUCCUGUCCAACGUUAAUCGGGGCAGGGUGAGUCGACCCCUAAGGCGAGGCCGAAAGGCGUAGUCGAUGGGAAACAGGUUAAUAUUCCUGUACUUGGUGUUACUGCGAAGGGGGGACGGAGAAGGCUAUGUUAGCCGGGCGACGGUUGUCCCGGUUUAAGCAUGUAGGCGGAGGUUCCAGGUAAAUCCGGUACCUUUUAACGCUGAGGUGUGAUGACGAGGCACUACGGUGCUGAAGUAACAAAUGCCCUGCUUCCAGGAAAAGCCUCUAAGCAUCAGGUAACAUUAAAUCGUACCCCAAACCGACACAGGUGGUCAGGUAGAGAAUACCAAGGCGCUUGAGAGAACUCGGGUGAAGGAACUAGGCAAAAUGGUGCCGUAACUUCGGGAGAAGGCACGCUGAUAGGUAGGUGAAGCCCCUGCGGGUGGAGCUGAAAUCAGUCGAAGAUACCAGCUGGCUGCAACUGUUUAUUAAAAACACAGCACUGUGCAAACACGAAAGUGGACGUAUACGGUGUGACGCCUGCCCGGUGCCGGAAGGUUAAUUGAUGGGGUUAUCCGUAAGGAGAAGCUCUUGAUCGAAGCCCCGGUAAACGGCGGCCGUAACUAUAACGGUCCUAAGGUAGCGAAAUUCCUUGUCGGGUAAGUUCCGACCUGCACGAAUGGCGUAAUGAUGGCCAGGCUGUCUCCACCCGAGACUCAGUGAAAUUGAACUCGCUGUGAAGAUGCAGUGUACCCGCGGCAAGACGGAAAGACCCCGUGAACCUUUACUAUAGCUUGACACUGAACAUUGAGCCUUGAUGUGUAGGAUAGGUGGGAGGCUUUGAAGCGUGGACGCCAGUCUGCGUGGAGCCAACCUUGAAAUACCACCCUUUAAUGUUUGAUGUUCUAACGUGGACCCGUAAUCCGGGUUGCGGACAGUGUCUGGUGGGUAGUUUGACUGGGGCGGUCUCCUCCCAAAGAGUAACGGAGGAGCACGAAGGUUAGCUAAUCCUGGUCGGACAUCAGGAGGUUAGUGCAAUGGCAUAAGCUAGCUUGACUGCGAGCGUGACGGCGCGAGCAGGUGCGAAAGCAGGUCAUAGUGAUCCGGUGGUUCUGAAUGGAAGGGCCAUCGCUCAACGGAUAAAAGGUACUCCGGGGAUAACAGGCUGAUACCGCCCAAGAGUUCAUAUCGACGGCGGUGUUUGGCACCUCGAUGUCGGCUCAUCACAUCCUGGGGCUGAAGUAGGUCCCAAGGGUAUGGCUGUUCGCCAUUUAAAGUGGUACGCGAGCUGGGUUUAGAACGUCGUGAGACAGUUCGGUCCCUAUCUGCCGUGGGCGCUGGAGAAUUGAGGGGGGCUGCUCCUAGUACGAGAGGACCGGAGUGGACGCAUCACUGGUGUUCGGGUUGUCAUGCCAAUGGCAUUGCCCGGUAGCUAAAUGCGGAAGAGAUAAGUGCUGAAAGCAUCUAAGCACGAAACUUGCCCCGAGAUGAGUUCUCCCUGAGACUUUAAGUCUCCUGAAGGAACGUUGAAGACGACGACGUUGAUAGGCCGGGUGUGUAAGCGCAGCGAUGCGUUGAGCUAACCGGUACUAAUGAACCGUGAGGCUUAACCUU